rnacentral:rRNA from 1 species
AUUGAACGCUGGCGGCAGGCCUAACACAUGCAAGUAGCACGAGUGGCGGACGGGUGAGUAAUGUCUGGGAAACUGCCUGAUGGAGGGGGAUAACUACUGGAAACGGUAGCUAAUACCGCAUACCAUCAGAUGUGCCCAGAUGGGAUUAGCUUGUUGGUGGGGUAACGGCUCACCAAGGCGACGAUCCCUAGCUGGUCUGAGAGGAUGACCAGCCACACUGUAACUGAGACACGGUCCAGACUCCUACGGGAGGCAGCGGGGGGGAAUAUUGGACAAUGGGCGAAAGCCUAAUGCAGACAUGCCGCGGAUAUGAGGAAGGCCUUCGGGUUGUAAAGUACUUUGAGCGGGGAGACGUUACCCGCAGAAGAAGCACCGGCUAACUCCGUGCCAGCAGCCGCGGUAAUUC